rnacentral:misc_RNA from 1 species
UGUGUGCCCCCUUGCCCCGGAAUGUGCCGGGUGCGCGGGGGUUGCUGGUGUGGAAGAGUGGAGUCGGCCUUCGGGCGUGCCGGUCGUGCGGUGCGUCCAGGAGUGGUGCGGGCAUGCUUUUGGGUUCCCGGACCGCCACCCCGCGCCGUUUGGCGUGGCUGGUGUUCCGUGCCCCGUGCCGGUCGCCCGUCCCCUGGUGGGGUGGGUGGGCUCGCGUGCGGGUGCGUGGUGGUUUGAGAACUGGAUAGUGGACGCGAGCAGGGGACGCCCUUUUCGGGGGUGUCUUCUGCUGUUGAUUUCGCCGGACUCUUCGGAGUUCUGGUGUUUGAUCGUUUUGUGUGUGAUCAUUUGUGUGAUGAUUUGUGUUUGCCAGC